GUUUUGCUCCAAGGACCAAUCGAUGAAAAUCCGAGCGACCGCCUGUAUGUUUAGACCUAGCCUUCUGUAGUCGUACCCAUAACCGCAUCCGGUCUCCAAGGUGAACAGCCUCUAGUCGAUAGAAGAACGUUGGCAAGGGAAGUCGGCAAAAUAGAUCCGUAACUUUGGGAAAAGGAUUGGCUCAAGGGGUUUGAUGCGGGGGGGCCGAUUGGUCCGUCUGCUGGGAAUAGAGGGUGGGCUACUGCGCUUCACUGCGCGGCGGCCUGCUCUCCGAGCCCGGUGGACGCUGGUCGGAGGAUCCGCAUAAGUAAAAACCAACUUUGAACCGACACGGACUCGGGGAAUCCGACAGUUUAAUUAAAACCAAGCAUUGUGACAUGCGAUAACCGCACUUUACACAAUGUGAUUUCUGCCCAGUGCUUCGAUUUGUGAAACUUGCGAAAACAGAUUAAGCACAGGUCAACGGCGGGAGUAACUAUGACUCUCUUAAGGUAGCCAAAUGCCUCGUCAUCUAAUUAGUGACGCGCAUGAAUGGAAAAAUGAGACUCCCACUGUCCCUGUCAACCAUCUAGCGAAACCACAGCCAAGGGAACGGGCUUGGAACCGAAAGCGGGGAAAGAAGACCCUCUUGAGUUUGACUCUAUUCUGUCUUGGUUGCUUGGCUUGGAAGGUGUAGAAUACGUGGGAGCUGGAAACAGCGAUCGUGAAAUACCACGACUUUCGACGCUAAGCGGCUCAUUUGUUGAAAAGUGACUGCCUUCUUAACCGGAGGCACUUUGUCUGAUCUGGAAGUCCGUGCGUAGCAAUACGAGCGGGCGACACCAUAACAAACACAGAGACAGGUGGGGAGUUUGGCUGGGGCGGCACAUCUGUUAAACGGUAACACAGGUGUCCUAAGCGGCGCUCAAUGAGAACAGAAAUCUCAUGUAGAACAAAAGGGCAAAAGCACCGUUCAUUGGCAUUCUCAGUACCAAUACCAACUGCUAAAGCAUGGCCUAUCGAUCCUUUUUUGCAUUCAAGAAAGCGAACGCGUCGCAAAAGAGGUGUCAGAAAAAUUACCAAAGGGAUAACUGGCUUGUGGCUGCUAAGAGUUCAUAUCGACGUAGCCUUUUGAUUCUUCGAUGUCGGCUCUUCCUAGCUUUCCGCCGCAGCAGACGGAAAGAGUGAGAUUGUUCAUCUGAUAAAGGGAACGUGAGCUGGGUUUAGACCGUCGCGAGACAGGUUAGUUUUACCCUACUUUCAAAGUAGAAGGUUCAUUGAUAGUAGUAAGAUGUAGUACGAGAGGAACUAUCUUGCGAGCACACGGGCCCAUGCAAUUGCUGGAAACGGUAAUGUUGCGAAGCUCCCGCUCUUGGAUAAGAUCUGAACGCCUCUAAGAUUUAAUCCAUGCUGGAAAAGUGAACUGUUUUUGGGGCUGAUUGAUAGCGAUUCAAGUUACUAAUAUUCCGCCGCCGGGCUGGAAGCAAAACACACUGAGCGGUGCUCCCUGGCUUUGGCAAUCAUGCCGAGGUUAAAGCAUCCACACACUUUCCACAAAUCGGUCAGCCUCUAAUCGAAUGCAGACGACUUUAUUAGCCAAGGAGUAUUGU
rnacentral:rRNA from 1 species